rnacentral:sRNA from 1 species
UUGAUUGCCCUGGAAGCUGGAGUCUUCAAUUCAUCCACAGAACAAGUACAGCACAGACAAAGGCAGAAAAACCUGCCCUAUGUUACACCAUGGAUAAGACUAACACUGUUCUGAGGGGAUCAACUUCAAGGUUGUUCAGAUUCUCUACCAAUUAAAUUUUUCACUUUU